rnacentral:rRNA from 1 species
CGUACACUCCUACGGGAGGCAGCAGUGGGGAAUAUUGCACAAUGGGCGCAAGCCUGAUGCAGCCAUGCCGCGUGUAUGAAGAAGGCCUUCGGGUUGUAAAGUACUUUCAGCGGGGAGGAAGGCGAUAAGGUUAAUAACCUUGUCGAUUGACGUUACCCGCAGAAGAAGCACCGGCUAACUCCGUGCCAGCAGCCGCGGUAAUACGGAGGGUGCAAGCGUUAAUCGGAAUUACUGGGCGUAAAGCGCACGCAGGCGGUCUGUCAAGUCGGAUGUGAAAUCCCCGGGCUCAACCUGGGAACUGCAUUCGAAACUGGCAGGCUAGAGUCUUGUAGAGGGGGGUAGAAUUCCAGGUGUAGCGGUGAAAUGCGUAGAGAUCUGGAGGAAUACCGGUGGCGAAGGCGGCCCCCUGGACAAAGACUGACGCUCAGGUGCGAAAGCGUGGGGAGCAAACAGGAUUAGAAACCCGAGUAGUCCCAUGA